AUAUCAAUUAGGUUGGUGUAAAACUAAUUGUGGCUUUUGCCAUUACUUUUAUGACAAAAACUGUAAUUACCUUUGCAUCAACCUAAUAUUUAA
rnacentral:miRNA from 1 species